AUCCUGAACAUGACCCACUUACACUACUAGUAAAUCUAAAAAUGAGUCCGGCUACAAUGCUAUCGAUAAUAUCAAGUACUUGGUGCUAUCAAAUUUUCUGUCAUUAGAUCAAUUUUUUUAACUAUUUUCAUCCGUUAGAUCAUACUAUUGAACCAACCAUCUACUCAACUCUAAGGGAUCGCUAUCAUCCUAAUCGUAUAUCGCCUCAUCCAAGGGCCCAAAACUUAAUAGCACCAAUGAUUUGAUGCUAUUAAUAAUAUUUUAGCCUAGUCGUGAAAAGUAG
rnacentral:lncRNA from 1 species